CCGAUCCCGAAUUCAAUAAGAUCAAGAAUCCAAAGAAUAACGAGGAAAAGAAAAAGUUGUGGAAUAGUACCUAAAUUUCAAUAUCUUCUACAAAUCAGCCGGAUUGAAUUAAAGUGAAUUUGGUAGAUCGGAUCAACACAACAAGGCACACUAUCCAGAUCAAUUCCGGUAGCUUUUGUUUUAUGUUUGAAGAUUUAUAUGGCAUGUAUAGAGUUUAAAUGAAUUGAAGUAAAGCUGUUAUAAACUAGUUAACAAAUUUUUGUACUAAAAUAGUUUUUGGUUAGUAGCAGUAGUUUGACUUUGAAAAUUUACCAUAAAUUAUGAAAAUAUAAUUAGAGGUCGAAUAAGAUAUGAAAUUAAA